UACGUAGGGUGCGAGCGUUAAUCGGAAUUACUGGGCGUAAAGCGCACGUAGGCGGCUUUGUAAGUUAGAGGUGAAAGCCCAGGGCUCAACCCUGGAAUUGCCUUUAAGACUGCAUCGCUAGAAUUGUGGAGAGGUAAGUGGAAUUCCGAGUGUAGAGGUGAAAUUCGUAGAUAUUCGGAAGAACACCAGUGGCGAAGGCGACUUACUGGACACAUAUUGACGCUGAGGUGCGAAAGCGUGGGGAACAAACAGG
rnacentral:rRNA from 1 species